ACGGGAGGCAGCAGUGAGGAAUUUUCCGCAAUGGGCGAAAGCCUGACGGAGCGACGCCGCGUGAGGGAUGAAGGUCUUCGGAUCGUAAACCUCUUUUAUUAAGGAAAAAGGUUUAUAUGUUAACCAUAUAAAUUUGAUGGUACUUAUUGAAUAAGCCCCGGCUAACUACGUGCCAGCAGCCGCGGUAAUACGUAGGGGGCGAGCGUUGUCCGGAGUUACUGGGCGUAAAGAGCGUGUAGGCGGUUAGUUAAGUCAGGUGUGAAAUCCUUCAGCUCAACUGAGGAACUGCGCCUGAAACUGAUUAACUGGAGUCUUGGAGGGGCAACUGGAAUUCCUGGUGUAACGGUGAAAUGUGUAGAUAUCAGGAGGAACACCUGUGGCGAAGGCGGGUUGCUGGACAAUGACUGACGCUGAGACGCGAAAGCGUGGGUAGCAAACAGGAUUAGAUACCCUGGUA
rnacentral:rRNA from 1 species